UAACCUGCCGUAUACCGGGGGAUAACACUUAGAAAUAGGUGCUAAUACCGCAUAAGCGCACGGCUCCGCAUGGGGCAGUGUGAAAAACUCCGGUGGUAUACGAUGGAUCCGCGUCUGAUUAGCUAGUUGGCGGGGUAACGGCCCACCAAGGCAGCGAUCAGUAGCCGGCCUGAGAGGGUGGACGGCCACAUUGGGACUGAGACACGGCCCAAACUCCUACGGGAGGCAGCAGUGGGGAAUAUUGCACAAUGGGGGAAACCCUGAUGCAGCGACGCCGCGUGAGUGAAGAAGUAUCUCGGUACGUAAAGCUCUAUCAGCAGGGAAGAAAAUGACGGUACCUGACUAAGAAGCCCCGGCUAACUACGUGCCAGCAGCCGCGGUAAUACGUAGGGGGCAAGCGUUAUCCGGAUUUACUGGGUGUAAAGGGAGCGUAGACGGCAGCACAAGUCUGGAGUGAAAUCCCGGGGCUUAACCCCGGAACUGCUUUGGAAACUGUGCGGCUGGAGUGCAGGAGGGGUAAGCGGAAUUCCUAGUGUAGCGGUGAAAUGCGUAGAUAUUAGGAGGAACACCGGUGGCGAAGGCGGCUUACUGGACUGUAACUGACGUUUGAGGCUCGAAAGCGUGGGGGAGCAAACAGGAUUAGAUACCCUGGAGU
rnacentral:rRNA from 1 species